rnacentral:rRNA from 1 species
UGGCACCACGAGGACUUUACUGUCUCCUUUUUCUAAUCAGUGAAACUAAUCUUCCCGUGAAGAAGCGGGAAUAAAUAGAUAAGACGAGAAGACCCCAUGGAGCUUUAAGCUUACUGCACCUCUAUUUUCUAUAACCUCUUAUUAAACGGAAUACUGCUUACUUAGCUUUAGGUUGGGGCGACCGCGGAGUAUAACAUAACCUCCAUGAUGAACAAAACUAUUUUCUUAUCUAAGAACAACAGUUCUAAGAAUUAGUAUUCUAACAUAAAAUGAUCCGAUAAUCGAUCAACGGACUAAGUUACCCUGGGGAUAACAGCGCAAUCCAUUUCAAGAGCCCCUAUCGACAAAUGGGUUUACGACCUCGAUGUUGGAUCAGGAUAUCCUAGUGGUGCAGCAGCUACUGAAGGUUCGUUUGUUCAACGAUUAAAAUCCU